rnacentral:lncRNA from 10 species
CCCAGCUAAUUUUUUGUAUUUUUUAGUAGAGACGGGGUUUCACCGUUGUUAGCCAGGAUGGUCUCAAUCUCCUGACCUUGUGAUCCACCCGCCUCGGCCUCCCAAACUGCUGGGAUUACAGGUGUGAGCCACCGCGCCCGGCUUACUUUUGUAUUUUUAGUAGAGACAGGGUUUCACUAUGUUGGUCAGGCUGGUCUUGAACUCCCGACCUCAGGUGAUCCACUUAAUAUAUUUUAUUUGACCCAGUAUAUCCAUAAUUUUAUCAUUUCAACAUGUAAUCAAAAUUGAGCUAUUUUGCUGCAUUUUCAUACUAAGUCUGAAGCCUUGUUUAUGUUUUACACUGCACAUCCCAAUUCACACGAGCCAGACUUUCAAGUGCUGAAUGUAGCUAGUGGCUGCUGUGGCAGUGAUACAGGACAUUUCAAUCAGAGCAGAGAUUUCUAUUGAACAGUUCUGUUCCAGGGAGUCCUUAUUUUACAAAUUCCAGGCUAAGAGGUCCUCACAGGGAGCACCGUUUUUAUUGUACAAGAUGCUGAUGACAGGUUCUUUCAUAUUCAAAUUCAGACCUCCCCCACAUUGUUACUUAAUAAUUCUCAUCUACCCACACAGCCAUCCGAGCUAAGCUUGCAAAUGGGGCAGGAAGAACAGGAAAAAAACUCAAAACCUCCCCCUUCAUAAAUGUGGUAUUUGUCCAUGUUUACAUGGAGGUUCCACUCAGCCCUUGAGGAGCAAAGCAGCAAGUGGGGCAGUCACUGUUUCCUCAGGUUGAGGCCUUGGACUCCUUAUCUUCCCCACUGGCUCUUGGUUUAUGAGUUCCCCUUUUAAGGAUCUGUUGUGACUUACCUAUCUGGGCUAGUGACCUCAGAUGUCUCAGACUGAGCAUCUUACCACUGUUUCUGGUUGAUCCCUUCACUCAUGGUCUUAACACAUUUGCACUUCCUCUCAUCUCAGAGAGUACAGUCACGGGGCAGAGCUUGCAUAGGGAUCCAGGUGUUACUAGUCUUACUCUGGAGCUGGUCCAACUCAGUUUCAUGGCACAGAACUAGAUUAGGUCUCCACUGCGCAGUCUGUUUUACUGCUUAGGGAAAGCCAGCUUUUCUACCCACACACGUUUAGUUUGAAGAGUAUCUAUUUUUGGAGGGUUCUUUGGGAGGUUGGGCAGGCUUCUUUGGAUCCCAGAUACAUUUAGAGCUUUUUGCAUUAAGUGUGAGGAAAAUAACUUCUCUUUGAUGAUGUUGAUACACCAUGUGGGCACCCUGGGGCACAGCGGUUUAGCUGGGGAGAUUCCAUGAGAAUGAACCCAAACUACUCUUCUUUGCUAGGGUCCUUUACCCACACAGAGGUGAGCCUUUCAGGUUCUUCAUUUUGCUUAGUUUCUUCCCUUGUCCUUGGCAUUUAAGAGGCAUCCAUGUGUUAGCCAGCCAAAGCCCCCUGAAGGAGCUGGCUGCUUUAAAGGAUUUACUUGGGAGGAUGUCAAAUGGCUUUGCCUUCUGCAGACUUCAUUUAUUUUAAUCUUUUUAUGGCUCCUUUCUCUUGCUUUAAAACAGGAUUAUAAGCACACAGCAGGUACUGACACCUGAAGUCUUACUAAAUUCCUGUCCUCAGGCCAUCCUUUUUCUCCUGAAACCUGGACUCCAAUUUUCAAUGACGUUUUUGUUUUUCUCUUUCAAGCCUAACUAUGGGACAGCUUUACGAGAAGGAAAAAGAUGAAGAUGGAUUCUUAUAUGUGGCCUACAGCGGAGAGAACACUUUUGGCUUCUGAGGGCCAUUGCUGGGCUAGGUGCACCGUAACUGCUUGUGUAUCUUGUAAAUAGCCAGCCAUUUUCAGUUAUUAUACCAGAACCUCUUCACAUAGACCUAUUAGUGCAUUUGUAACUGGAUUUAUUUCUUAAUAUAUUGGAAGGUUUUGUUUCCUUAGACUAGUAAAUUAUCAUACAGAGUUUUAUUUUGAGUUUUUCUUUUUGUGCAUUGUCCUCAUGCCUGUAUUCUCCAGGAAACUUGUCCUUCUGGAAAUCAUAUUGAAUGAUAUUUCUAUAUCGAAGUGAGGUAGGUGCGGUAUUAAAGUGAAAGGGAAGGUGAUGCAUUUAUUCUGGGUUAUGCUUGAAGUGUUAGAUGGCUAAGUAUUAAAAUUAUCCAAAUUAAAUCCUUAGCAGUCAGAACACUUGCUUCACUAGAAUAUGCCAACUGCCAAUCAUGUUGGACUGAGCUAAUUUGUUCCUCUUUCUGAAACUAUUAAGGUAAAUAAUUAACAAUAAAAAUUCUCUUAUAAAGGCA